rnacentral:lncRNA from 1 species
CAUGAAGAAGUUAUCCCACUUUCAAAUCAGGUGAUUCCAGUUUCCCAGUUUGGGAAUAGCACAGCUUCUUCGUCGUUCCAAUCAAACCAGGAUGAAUCACUUUGUGAGAAGCUUGAUUUGGAUACAUAAAUUGGUGGAGAAUCACCAGGAAGUUGAAUAAAUCUCAUAGGAGUUGGGAUGAAGAAGUUAUCCCACUUUCAAAUCAGGUGAUUCCAG